rnacentral:rRNA from 1 species
CCGGCUACUCCGUGCCAGCAGCCGCGGUAAUACGGAGGGUGCGAGCGUUAAUCGGAAUUACUGGGCGUAAAGGGUGCGUAGGUGGUUGAAUAAGUUAUNUGUGAAAUCCCUGGGCUUAACCUGGGAGGGUCAGAUAAUACUGCUCAACUCGAGUAUGGGAGAGGGUAGUGGAAUUUCCGGUGUAGCGGUGAAAUGCGUAGAGAUCGGAAGGAACACCAGUGGCGAAGGCGGCUACCUGGCUCGAUACUGACACUGAGGCACGAAAGCGUGGGGAGCAAACAGGAUUAGAUACCCUGGUAGUCCACGCUGUAAACGAUGUCA